rnacentral:rRNA from 1 species
UACGACUACAUAUCAGGCAUAUCAAUAAGCGGAGGAAAAGAAACUAACAAGGAUUCCCCUAGUAACGGCGAGUGAAGCGGGAAGAGCUCAAAUUUGAAAUCUUCAAGGUUUUACCUUGACGAAUUGUAGUUUAAAGAAGUGUUUUCGGUUAGAGGAGUAGUAAAAGUUCUUUGGAAUAGGACAUCAUAGAGGGUGAGAAUCCCGUAUUUGACCAUUAUUUCCUAGCUUUGUGAUACACUUUCAAAGAGUCGGAUUGUUUGGGAAUGCAGUCCAAAAUGGGUGGUAAAUUUCAUCUAAAGCUAAAUAUUGGCGAGAGACCGAUAGCGAACAAGUACCGUGAGGGAAAGAUGAAAAGAACUUUGAAAAGAGAGUUAAACAGUACGUGAAAUUGUCAAAAGGGAAGCGUUUGACACCAGUGUUGUUUUCUCGAAAAUCAAUUAAAAAGGCGUGGAUUUUGUGUUGUAUUGACCUUUAAUCAGCUUGCUUCACUCUUUUCUUAGUCUUUUUUUUUAAUGCACUUUUCGUUUAACAAGUCAACAUCAGUUUCUUUUGUUGUAAAAGGGUCAUUGGAAGGUGGCUUUCUUUUCGGAGAAAGUGUUUAUAGCCUUUGGCCUCUGCAAUCGGAGAGAUUGAGGUCUGCAGCGUAGAUCCCUCGGGGUUAGAUACAUUUGUGCUAAGUUAUAGCCUUUCAUAGACAACUUGUUGACUAUGAUCAGUCGUGUAGCUUACUCGCUUAUGCUAUUUUACCUACGCUUAGGAUGUUGAGCGCAUGUCUCUCUCU